rnacentral:rRNA from 1 species
GGCGACACCGCGCGGAACCGAAGCCGUUCUCAGUUCGGAUCGGAGUCUGCAACCCGACUCCGUGAAGCUGGAUUCGCUAGUAAUCGCGCAUCAGCCAUGGCGCGGUGAAUACGUUCCCGGGCCUUGUACACACCGCCCGUCAAGCCAUGGGAGCCGGGGGUGCUUGAAGUGCGUCGCCGCAAGGCGCGCCCUAGAGCAAAACCGGUGACUGGGGCUAAGUCGUAACAAGGUAAC